rnacentral:rRNA from 1 species
UACGUAGGGUGCAAGCGUUAAUCGGAAUUACUGGGCGUAAAGCGUGCGCAGGCGGUUUUGUAAGUCUGUCGUGAAAUCCCCCGGCUCAACUGGGGAACUGCACGGGAAACAGCAGGGCUUGAGUUCGGGAGAGGUAAGUGGAAUUCCGAGUGUAGAGGUGAAAUUCGUAGAUAUUCGGAAGAACACCAGUGGCGAAGGCGACUUACUGGACACAUAUUGACGCUGAGGUGCGAAAGCGUGGGGAGCAAACAGG